rnacentral:rRNA from 1 species
AUGGCCCAUGUUGUCCUCAACUUCAAUGCGUUCCUAGAGAAAAACAAGCUGAAAGACGAUGGCAGCAACUAUACGGACCGGGUCCAGAACCUGAGGAUCAUCCUCAUGGCUGCCAAGAAAGAUUAUGUCCUAGAAGCACUGUUAGGUGACGCACCUGUCCCAGAGAACCAAGACGUUAUGAACGCUUGGCAGUCACGUGCUGAUGAUUACUCCCUCGUUCAGUGCGGUAUGCUUUACAGCUUAGAACUGGGGCUCCAAAAGCGUUUUGAGAGACACAGAGCAUAUGAGAUGUUCGAAGAGCUGAAAAUGGUUUUUCAAGCUCAUGCCCGGGUCGAGAGAUAUGAAGUCUCUGAUAAGUUCUUCAGCUAUAAGAUGGAGGAAAAUAGUUCUGUCAGUGAGCACAUACUCAAAAUGUCUGGGUUGCAUAACCGCUUGACUCAGCUGGGAGUUAAUCUCCCGGAUGACGCGGUCAUUGACAGAAUCCUUCAGUCGCUUCCACCAAGCUACAAGAGCUUUGUGAUGAACUUCAAUAUGCAAGGGAUGGAAAAGACCAUUCCUGAGGUAUAUUCAAUGCUGAAAUCAGCAGAGGUGGAAAUCAAAUAG